rnacentral:rRNA from 1 species
CCGGCGGGAUUAGAGUUUGAUCAUGGCUCAGAUUGAACGCUGGCGGCAGGCCUAACACAUGCAAGUCGAGCGGUAACAGGAAUUAGCUUGCUAAUUCGCUGACGAGCGGCGGACGGGUGAGUAAUGCCUGGGAAUAUGCCUUAGUGUGGGGGAUAACAAUUGGAAACGAUAGCUAAUACCGCAUAAUGUCUUCGGACCAAAGAGGGGGACCCUCGGGCCUCUCGCGCUAAGAUUAGCCCAGGUGAGAUUAGCUAGUUGGUGAGGUAAGAGCUCACCAAGGCGACGAUCUCUAGCUGGUCUGAGAGGAUGAUCAGCCACACUGGAACUGAGACACGGUCCAGACUCCUACGGGAGGCAGCAGUGGGGAAUAUUGCACAAUGGGCGCAAGCCUGAUGCAGCCAUGCCGCGUGUAUGAAGAAGGCCUUCGGGUUGUAAAGUACUUUCAGUGGGGAGGAAGGUGUUGUCGUUAAUAGCGGCAGCAUUUGACGUUACCCACAGAAGAAGCACCGGCUAACUCCGUGCCAGCAGCCGCGGUAAUACGGAGGGUGCGAGCGUUAAUCGGAAUUACUGGGCGUAAAGCGCAUGCAGGUGGUUCAUUAAGUCAGAUGUGAAAGCCCGGGGCUCAACCUCGGAACCGCAUUUGAAACUGGUGAACUAGAGUGCUGUAGAGGGGGGUAGAAUUUCA